UCCUGGGAGCCCUGGGUCACAGAUUGCCCCCCGGAUUGGCUACCCACCGAGGCAGGGCCUGGCCUCUGUGCCUCCAUCAGUCGUGGCUGUGGGCUGCCUGGUGGGGGACGGGGUGUAGGACUGGCUGUUCCAGCGAGGAGGCUUCUGCUCAGUGUGGGGAGCCCUCCAGAGAAAAAUAGCUGCUGGUGGGAUCUGCUGGCAACACUGGGCUGCUGAGGAGCUGGGCACCAGCCUCCAAGCAGAUCUAGGCGCCCACAGUGCCCAGAACACACCUGGCCUGUAAUUGCAGAGGACAGCAGAGUCCAACCCCCGGGAGCAGGUGUCUGGGAUUCUUUCUCUCUGCAGCUAGAAUGUGGGGCCUGGCUCAGACCCUACCAGGAUGGCGCAGCCACAGUGAAUCUGGAGGUACGGGUGUGUCAGACCUGCUAUUUCCACCCCCAUUUCCUCAGCAGAUGGCUGGGGUCUGAGUUUAGAGGUGUUUUUUAGUUUCAGAGCUUUAAGUCUGAUUCUCCAGGCCUUCCAAUAAUUCCAUGGCAAUUUUGUCCAUUCUGCUACUUUCAUUGAACCCCAUUCCUGCUCAAUUGAGCAACGUUAACCACUGUUGCUGGCAAAUAAGAAACUUAAAGCUGGGUGCACUGGCUCACACCUGUAAUCCCAGCACUCUGGGAGGCUAAGAUAGGAGGAUUGCUUGAGCUCAGGAGUUCAAGACCAGCCUGGGUAACAUAUGAGAUGCCAUCUCUACAGAAAACAGGAAAAAAAUAAAAAUAAAAAGGCUCCUCCUUUUGCCACGUGGUCUGGACGCAAAGGACAGUUGUGUUCAAAGUUGGCAUUCGUGCUGGGACUGAAAAUAAUUCUGUAGCACAGGCCCCAGUUCUCCCUUCCCCUCAUGGUCAGCAGCAUUGCUUAUUCAUUUCUCUAUGUACUGAUGUUUAUCGAGCGUGCACUGUAUGCUGGAUACAAAAGCAGCUGCACAAAGCAGCCCCAAAUCGCUGCUGGUGCAGCUUCCUGGCAGGGCCCUUCUGCCUGAGGGUAUGGAACCCGACAGCCCUGCCCUGUGUCCUGACAGAGCAGGUCCAGGGACAGUGAGAAUGCAGCAGCCCACAUGAGGCUCCUCUGUUGAACUGGCCCUGGGUGGCCCUGAGCGUCCUUGUGGGAGUCCCUGGCUGCUCUGUGCUGGGCACCCCCACCGCUGUGCACGCUGGGCAGCCUCUCCGGGGCUCCACUUCUUCCAAGUCCACUGAACCAUCUGUGCCCCCAUCCCUGGCCUCUGUGCCAGCCUCACCUCACUCCGCCAGGGUUUUGUCCCCAGUCUUCUGACAAAGGCUCCCCCUUAAAGCUCACACAUGUCACUUGGCUGCCAGUGAUCUCUCGGUCCUCACACCCUCCUCUGAGAACAUUUUUUUACGUGAUCGAUCAUCUUCCCAACAUGCUGUUUUCUAUCAGGCUCUAUAAAAUGACAUCACCUCAUUCUCUCCCUAUCUCUGUGACAAUUUAUCUCAGUCUAGGGCCAAUUUAUUCUUUCACAGUGGUUUGUAGGUCUGGGAAGACCCUCUUGCUCUUGCCUUCAAGUUGUGAAGUCUCUGAGCGGAGCUGUCUGUCCUCAGAGACCCCUCGCCUGGCCACCUGCCACUGUGCUGUCUCUGAAGAAAAGCAGCGAAUGUGGGUACAGCGUCUCUCAGUGUGGGAGAGCUUUCACCCUGUCUGAUCUGAUCCUUGCCACAACCCUGCUGGGUCAGUGUCACCCCAGUUGAUGUCUGAAGUCCUGAAAGCGCCAUGUCAUCUGCCCAAGGUCACAGAAUUUAUCCAUGAUAGAGCAGGGAUGAGAAACCCAGCUUUCUGGUACGAGGCAUCCUAUUUCUGCUACUCCACAUGAGCCUCUGUCUCGUGAAGCCAUGGUGUCUGUCUUUGAAUAGUUCACUGAGGUUGUCUCCCAAGGUGAGAGAGAGAUGUGAGCGAAGAAAACAGUAGGGAGACCUGUAGAACCGAUGUUCUGAAUGAACUUGAUUUCAGGUUUAGUCGACUAAUUUGUAAUUCUGAGAGGUGAGGGAGGGAGGUCUGCUGCUUUGGGUAGGUCAGUACUUGUGUUUAUUGUUACUAUCCCUGGUCUAUUCAUAAUUUAUCUUUGUUGAUUAAAAAGCAUUUUUUUUUUUUCCAAAGAGAGCUGGCCCUUUAAAGCUGGUGGCUUUCUGGAACUCACUGUCAUUGAGCUAAACCCAGCUAAGGGAACCUGAUUUAAUAACUUGAGUAGACAAAGGGGUGAUCAAUCACAGGGUUCCUGUGGUCAUUUCGUCCUUCACCACCCAUUGCACACCUGUCAAAUUUUAAGAAUCAGAGCAGACUCCAGUUACUUUCCCUGGGAACAUGCACGUAGCUGAAACCUUUGACUAAGACAAUGUAUCAUAGACUUCAUGUUUCAUGCUCCUAAAAGAAAUUCUCAACAAGAAAGAAAAGUGCCAUAGGAAAUGAAGCUUUCCCAGGUGAGGGCAGACAGGGACUGAGCUGGCUUGAGAGUGAUCUGGGUAGACGUGUAGAGCCAUCACACUUAAACGGUUGCUGAGAGCCUGGUCACUGGCUGGCUGAAUGAUGCCGUUUCUCCCAGGAGGGGUCCUCUGUGAGCACUGGAGGGGGAGUUGCUUCUGGAGACCAUGGAAAGAUUAAUCUGGAUGUCAAUAAACCAGCCCCGCCACUGGAUAUUCUGGUUCUGAAAGCCUAGUGACUCAGGCCCGGCGACGGCUGAGGCAUGUCCCAACCCUGGAGGAAGGUCAGACUGAGUGGACACUUUCCAGGAGUCCAGAAGGAGAUAGUGAAUUUGUGGAGAAACUUGAUAGGAGCCACCAACAUCCCUAACUUCCUGGGGACAUCUGAGCUCCAGUGGCACGGAUGAAUCAGCAUGUUGGAUGGAGGAACUGCCAGCCCCUCAGUAUCCCAGCAGUGGAGCCAGGAGCACGGACGGCGACCCAGAAGGAACCUCACUGGGUGAGGCGUGUGUGGGCUGCUCUUAAGGCUCUAAUCAGCCAAAGGUGCAGGCUGAGCCUGGAAGCAGUGCUGGGAGGUUCUUCUGGACACAGACAUGAGAAUGAGGUCCUUAAGCUUCACCACCAGCCCUUUCGUCUCGGGGCCGACAUGGCCUGUUCCCUUGGACUAUGUCAGAAUCCCGUCACCUGGCCACUUCCGGGCUUCUGCCAGGUGGGGACUUGUGUGUGGCUGCAGGUGCCAUGGUGUGCAGUGCUAACUGGUCACUUGUGCACUUCCCAUCUCCUCCUGUGAGUUCUGAUUCCCAGUUCCUUAGAGGCUUCUUCUGCCCACUGACUCCCCAGCGUGCUCCACACGCCAUCUCCUUCUGCCCAGACCCUGGCCUCUCCUUCCCACUUCUCUCUCCACUCGACACUCACUCUGACAGGUGUCUCCACGGAAAAGCUCCAGCAUCCACAACCCACUUCUUUCUGCAUUAAAAACUCUUCUCUUGCUAUAAACUCUUCUCCUUGUCGAAGGUUUAUAAUCUCUUCUUCCAGGGAAUCUCCUGCUGACUUAAUAAACUAAUCCACCUACUGAGGCUCACAGGUAAAGCGGAGUUAAUUUCUGGCUUUCCCCAGAAGUAGAUAUUUUAAUUUGGGUUGUUUCUAGAGAGUCAUUGCCUUCCUAAAAUGAGUCAUGACCAUAUACCUGCGAUCCAGGCCAUGUGGCAUUAGCACUCUCAGGCAGCUGAGCGCUUUCCACGUGCGCUGAACCAGACCCUGCAUCCCUCCCGCAGCGGUCAGACAGCAGCUGCUUGUGCUGGCCCCCUCAGCAUGGAAACAGCAUUGUUCGGAGCAGCAAUGUGAAGCAUAUACACGCUUCUCCAGCCAACAUCUCAGAGUGUCAGGGACUGAGGGCAGGUCACAGAUUUCAGCUAGGAAUCGAUUGUGCCUCCAUUGCUUUCAGAGAAGUGCUUCCAGUAGUUAGAGUGUCUGGGUCACAAAUCCACCAUCACCUCUUCAAGUUCUCCAGGCUUCCUCCUUGUGGCGCCAGCCCCUCAGAAGUUAAUACAAACUGGCUUUUUGGUCUUAGCCUUUGCACUGACGUAAGAUUUCACUUUAUUUCCUAAUUUUUGAAAGACUAAUAUGAGUUCUUGACUUACAAAAGCAUUUUCAUAUCUUCUGAAACUUUAUCUCGAAGAUGUUUCCACCCCAGCGCCCAUUUCCUUUUCUAGAAAAACUCAGUUAAGAGAUACAGUUGGCCUGUAUUAAAUCAUAAGGCAAGUCUCUAUUUCCUUGCUAAGACCUCUGUUUCCUAUGAUCUUGUAACAAAUAGCUAAAACGCAAUUUGUUUCAUCUCUGUGUUACUGUUAAGACAUCUGUAAUCUACAGCACUUGAGUGUGUGUGCAAUGAUGUGGCCCUUGCGUCUCUGGUGGGUGGCCGGCUGGAAUUCUAAAUGGAAGUCCAUGGCCCAUACGUGGCCACUGCUAUGCUUUGCUCUUUAGCAUAAUGAAUUUUGGAUAUUGAUUUUUUUAAUGGGAGAAAUUAGAGACCUGCAUGAGAAUUAACCAGCAUGAGAAAUGUUAGGAAUGAGUUCUCAGUGGGGAAAUGAAAGCAAUUCAAGGAAUGUGGGUUGAAUAAAGGCAGGUGUGAAAAGGGCCUCCCUUCCCCGAGGGGGUCUCUGGCUGAGGCCCCGCUGUGCUAUGUUCCCUGUGACACCUGCUCCAAAGGUUACAGAGUCUGCCUCCUGCACUUUGGCAGCUGCUUCAAGCAAAUUUUUCUUUAAUGGAAUGCAAGAUGGCGAUGGGAGAAUUCAAAAGAAUAGAGAGCUGGUAUCUUCUUAGACCAAAAGAAAAGGUUUGUUUUGUUCUGUUUGCUGCUUGCUUUCUAACAAAAUUUUACUUGUAAAGUCAAAAUUUGGUCAAGGACUGUUAGGGUGAUUGUAGGGUGGCAGCCAACCCUUAUACAACUCAAACAUCCAUGCUGGUCACUCUCUGCCAAAAGAAGCUGAGACUCGUAACUGAGUGAGCAGGCACCUGUCAGUUUACAACUCUCUAGGAGUAAGUUUGGAAGUGGCUUUCUUACAUCACUGACCUUAGCUCAUCUGUGCGUGGGGCAGCUGUUUCCAUUUCUCUGGUUCUAUUUAGGUGCUCUGUAACAUCAUGCACUGCAAAUUCUUUGUAAAAGGAGGUGGAAUAAAAACCUAAAUGAACAAUGACAAUCACAGAGCAUUGUUCCUGGUCGCUCAGGGUGGGAGCCCAUGGCUUUACUCUUCACUGUGGCUUUUCUUCAAGUGUCAUGUAAACUUGUGCUAGUGAGACCCAAACGCGUCACCAGAGAGGCACAUGGCACGGGAGGGACACGGAAGGGACCAUGCCUGAGGGCCGAUUCCUAACUGGCAAUGCUUCGGUACCACUUCUCGUGGCAGCAGCUAACCCCCUACGCCUGAACAGAGACUCUGACGCCACUAAGGAGAGACAGAGCUGGCUUGGCUGCACCUGUACUGCUAGGCAUGGUGGGCAGGAUCUUGGGACUAGCAAUCUGGGGAGAAGAAUUCUGAGUUCAAGUCUUAGCCAAACACAGAACACGUGUGUGUUUCUGGAACACCAAAGGAAAGCAGAUGCAGAGAACCUCUGGACACACCACGUUGCUCCACAGACCUGGCCUUGU